rnacentral:rRNA from 1 species
GACGAGCGCUGGCGGCGUGCUUAACACAUGCAAGUCGAACGGAAAGGCCCUGCUUUUGUGGGGUGCUCGAGCGGCGAACGGGUGAGUAACACGUGAGUAACCUGCCCUUGACUUUGGGAUAACUUCAGGAAACUGGGGCUAAUACCGGAUAGGAGCUCCUGCUGCAUGGUGGGGGUUGGAAAGUUUCGGCGGUUGGGGAUGGACUCGCGGCUUAUCAGCUUGUUGGUGGGGUAGUGGCUUACCAAGGCUUUGACGGGUAGCCGGCCUGAGAGGGUGACCGGCCACAUUGGGACUGAGAUACGGCCCAGACUCCUACGGGAGGCAGCAGUGGGGAAUAUUGCACAAUGGGCGGAAGCCUGAUGCAGCAACGCCGCGUGCGGGAUGACGGCCUUCGGGUUGUAAACCGCUUUCGCCUGUGACGAAGCGUGAGUGACGGUAAUUGGUAAAGAAGCACCGGCUAACUACGUG